CACAAUUUAAUAUAUUUAAAAUUCAAGCUGUAGCACAACAAAAUGUGGAAAAAGUCAUGUGAAUCAUUUCUGUAUACAGGGAUUAACAAGUAGAGUGAAAAUGACAACUUAUCAUGCAUCGAUGCAACGCCAGAACAACAAAACUAGAUAUGCUAAAGACAAUUUCCCAACAGACAACACACACACUGGAUAGACCCUUCAUGCAUCACAUGAUAAUAACAAUCAAUGAAGAGAUAUUUAAUCGUAUCUACCCCAACACAUACAACAUGACCACAAUAACUUACAGUACGUACCAGAUUUAAGACCUGCAAAAUGGUCGGUGAAUAUUGAGUAUGAUUUUCUCUGUGUGCCUGGGAAAACACGUUCAGCUCUCGGCUCUUGACGUUAAAAAUAAUUUAAUUAGAAGAAUUUGACAUCAUUGACAUUUCAACAAUCUUGGCCUUGUCUCUGUCUGUCCUGUCCCCUCAGUAGCCAUGAUGGUUCAAACAGACCCUCGGCAGCCAUGAUGGAUCAGACAGGCCCUCUGUAACCAUGAUGGUUCAGACAGGCCCUCGGCAGCCAUGAUGGAUCAAACAGGCCCUUGGCAGCCAUGAUGGUUCAGACAGACCCUCAGUAGCCAUGAUGGUUCAGACAGACCCUCAGUAGCCAUGAUGGUUCAGACAGACCCUCGGCAGCCAUGAUGGAUCAGACAGGCCCUCGGCAGCCAUGAUGGUUCAGACAGACCCUCGGCAGCCAUGAUGGUUCAAACAGGCCCUCUGUAACCAUGAUGGUUCAGACAGGCCCUCUGUAGCCAUGAUGGUUCAGACAGACCCUCGGCAGCCAUGAUGGUUCAGACAGACCCUCAGUAGCCAUGAUGGUUCAGACAAGCCCUCGGCAGCCAUGAUGGUUCAGAGAGACCCUCUGUAGCCAUGAUGGUUCAGACAAGCCCUCGGCAGCCAUGAUGGUUCAGACAGGCCCUCAGUAGCCAUGAUGAUUCAGACAGGCCCUCGGUGGUACAAACAACCUCUUCUUCAUUUCUUCUUCUUAGAGAGAGUGUUGAGCCAGGAGGAAGAGAAGCUGAGACGAGGGGUCUCAUUGGAGGAAGGCGAGGAGGGGGAGGAGUGGGAGGAGGGACCACCUGCCUGUGGUGUGGGGUUCUCUGGCCAAGGCUCAAUCUGGACAGAGAAAGGAGAUGGACAGAUGCCUUCAAAUGCAAGGUACUACAGAUAAGGAAGCCUCAUCUGUUUAGGCCAAUAAGCUACUGAGAAGGUCACGUAGGCUAUUCAAGAGAGCACACCAAGAAUGCAUUAUAUGGAGACACAGAGAGAUGCUUACCUGGAAUCAUUCACGUUUUGUUGGAAAAACUUGUCAAUAAUCAACUGACUGGCUUUCUUUGAUGUCUACAUUAUUCUCUCUGGUAUGCAAUCUGGUUUCUGCUCAGGUUAAGGAUGUGUCACUGCAACCUUAAAAGGUCCUCAAUGAUGUCACCAUUGCCCUUGAUUCUAAGCAAUAUUGUGCUGCUAUUUUUAUUGACUUGGCCGAAGCUUUCGAUACGGUAGACCAUUCCAUUCUUGUGGGCUGUCUAAGGAGUAUUAGUGUCUCUGAGGGGUCUUUGGUCUGGUUUGCUAACUACCUCUCUCAAAGAGUGCAGUGUACAAAGUCAGAAAAUCUGUUGUCUCAGCUGCUGCCUGUCACCAAGGGAGUACCCCAAGGCUCGAUACUAGGCCCCACUCUCUUCUCAAUUUACAUCAACAACAUAGCUCAGGCAGUAGGAGGCUCUCUCUCUCAUCCAUUUAUAUGCAGAUGAUACAGUCUAUUACUCAGCUGGUCCCACCCCGGAUUUUGUGUUAAAUGCUCUACAACAAAGCUUUCUUAGUGUCCAACAAGCUUUCUCUACCCUUAACCUUGUUGUGAACACCUCCAAAACAAAGGUCAUGUGGUUUGGUAAGAAGAAUGCCCCUCUCCCCACAGGUGUUAUUACUACCUCCUGGGGGUUUAGAGCUUGAUGUAGUCACCUCAUACAAG
ensembl:lncRNA